AGAGUUUGAUCAUGGCUCAGGACGAACGCUGGCGGCGGGCUUAACACAUGCAAGUUGAAGGAGAAGUCUUGACUUCGGUUGAGAUGGAGACUGGCGCACGGGUGAGUAACGCGUAGACAACCUGCCUAUAUCUGGGGGAUAACCGCCCGAAAGGGUGGCUAAUACCGCAUAAUGCAGCGGGGCCGCAUGGCCACAGUUGUUAAAGGUUUCGGCCGGAUAUAGAUGGGUCUGCGUGCUAUUAGUUAGUUGGUAAGGUAACGGCUUACCAAGGCGAUGAUAGCUAGGGGGUCUGAGAGGAUGAUCCCCCACACUGGGACUGAGACACGGCCCAGACUCCUACGGGAGGCAGCAGUGAGGAAUCUUGCGCAAUGGAGGAAACUCUGACGCAGCCACGCCGCGUGCCGGAAGACGGCCCUACGGGUUGUAAACGGCUUUUAUUUGGGAAGAACCCGGGAGAUUUGUCUCCCACUGACGGUACCUAUUGAACAAGCACCGGCUAACUCCGUGCCAGCAGCCGCGGUAAUACGGAGGGUGCAAGCGUUGUCCGGAAUCAUUGGGUGUAAAGGGUGCGCAGGCUGGCGCCUAAGUCGGAGGUGAAAUCUUGCCGCUUAACGGUAAAAUGGCCUCCGAUACUGGGUGUCUUGAAUCUGACAGAGGUCGGUGGAAUUCGUGGUGUAGCGGUGAAAUGCAUAGAUAUCACGAAGAACAUCAGUGGCGAAGGCGGCCGGCUGGGUCAGUAUUGACGCUGAGGCACGAGAGCGUGGGGAGCGAACAGGAUUAGAUACCCUGGUAGUCC
rnacentral:rRNA from 1 species